rnacentral:rRNA from 1 species
GGGAUACCCGCUGAACUUAAGCAUAUCAAUAAGACGGAGGAA